AGAGCGAGCGAGCGCUGCUGACGCCAGCAGCGCUGCCGACGCCAGUUUCGCCCAGCGUCUGGAACGCCAACGCACGCGACCCAUGUGUCGGCAAUUGAAAGGAUAUUUGUAUUUUCGCCAACCUCAAACAAACAACAAAAUCGAUAACAUUGUCCAGUGACGUCACAACGGCAUUUUGCGUGGGCAAUACACACACAAUGCAAAGAGAGCGUAGGCGGUUAUUUGCUAUUGGGUUCUUAUCAGAACGCUGCCGCUGUCGCUGUCGCUGCUGCUGCCGCUGCGGGUGUCGCCGGCCAACGACGUUUAAUCAUUAUCAGCAUGCUCUUCGGCAAUCUCUUCGCCAGUUCUUGGCAAGAAUAUAUGUAUAAAAUGAAUAAACACUUUUGCAUAUUCGUAUGCCAUUUUGGGUGCAA